GACGAACGCUGGCGGCGUGCUUAACACAUGCAAGUCGAACGGAAAGGCCCUGCUCUUGUGGGGUGCUCGAGUGGCGAACGGGUGAGUAACACGUGAGUAACCUGCCCUUGACUUUGGGAUAACUUCAGGAAACUGGGGCUCAUACCGGAUAGGAGCUCCUGCUGCAUGGUGGGGGUUGGAAAGUUCCGGCGGUUGGGGAUGGACUCGCGGCUUAUCAGCUUGUUGGUGGGGUAGUGGCUUACCAAGGCUUUGACGGGUAGCCGGCCUGAGAGGGUAACCGGCCACAUUGGGACUGCGAGACGGCCCAGACUCCUACGGGAGGCAGCAGUGGGGAGUAUUGCACAAUGGGCGGAAGCGUGAUGCAGCAACGCCGCGUGCGGGAUGACGGCCUACGGGUUGUAAACCGCUUUCGCAGGUGACGAAGCGUGAGUGACGGUAAUGGGUAAAGAAGCACCGGCUAACUACGUG
rnacentral:rRNA from 1 species